UCCGAGAGAGGCCAUGAGAGAAGGCAGUGUGGGGAAUGUUUUUGUACAUAGGUUUUUGGUGUUUUACAAUGGUGCUGUGGUAGGUUUAAAGAAAGUAUUUAGGUAGUUAUAGUAAUGUCAGUAGUGGUUCUUGCACGAAUGAGGGUUGUAGAGGGUGUCUGAUGUGUUGUUCAUGAUGGAUGUCAAUUUGGCCAACAUCCUCCUCCCCGCCACCUCCACAGUAGAGUCCAGGGGACAGGCCACAACUGAAGUGGCCCUCCUGGCAAGUUUGUCCAGUAUACUCCUGUCCCGCUUUGUGCAGCCGCUCCCCCAGCAGACCACAGCACAGAACACUAUAGAGGUUACCACAGUCUCGUAGAACAUCCUGAGCAGGGCCCAGGACACAUUAAAAUACCUGAGUCUCCUCAAAAGAUGUUGGCAAGUCCAGUUUAUUGUUGGGAUGAACAUCUGGGUACUUAUGCUUCACCACUGUCUCAAGCCCUGGAGGUUGGCCGAUGAGGCAGGAGUGGCUGUUCUAUGGAAGUACGUCGCCAUCUCCUUAGUCUUGUUUGCGCAUAUAUUUGUGUGUGCACCAGCCUCUCAGGAGCUGUGCCAUGUUUGUCUGUUUGGUGCUAUUUCUGUUCUUAGCCUCUAGAUGGCGUUUGAACCGGAGGAGAGGUGACAGGUGUUCUCUAUCUCCUUGAUGAUCUGCUGAGGAGUAUUUAAGGAGGAGGCUGCCAGCAACUCACUGCCAGAGUGUUGCCCUUUGUGGUUACCUGAACCUGACUUUGCCUUCAAGCAUCGAACCCAGCCUGGAUUACCGUCUUCUGGAAAGAAACUAUCCAGCUCCACGAACCAAGACUCAAGCCUCCUGUUACCUCAUUGGAUCAAACCAGCUGGCAGUCUCCUGAUUCCUUCGUUCUGUGGAUCUCCCUCUGUGAACCCUGUCCACCCUCCUUCUUCCAUUGCACCAACUACAGAAAUUCUUGGAGCAUCUAUCAUCCUGGCCCACCAGUAUUCACAGUCUCCAGUCCCACGGUUGGUAUCCCGGUUCCAGUUUCCUGCAUAUUUCAACUUCCUGUAAAUAAACUCCUUACCGUUAAA